rnacentral:rRNA from 1 species
CGAAGGGGGCAAGCGUUGUUCGGAAUUACUGGGCGUAAAGGGCGCGUAGGCGGCUCUUUUAGUCAGGUGUGAAAGCCCUGGGCUCAACCUGGGAAUGGCACUUGAUACUGGAGGGCUAGAGAGUGGGAGAGGAUGGUGGAAUUCCCAGUGUAGAGGUGAAAUUCGUAGAUAUUGGGAAGAACACCGGUGGCGAAGGCGGCCAUCUGGACCAUUUCUGACGCUGAGGCGCGAAAGCGUGGGGAGCAAACAGGAUUAGAUACCCUGGUAGUCCACGCUGUAAACGAUGAGUGCUGGACGUUGCGGAGCUUGCUCUGCGGUGUCGUAGCUAACGCGAUAAGCACUCCGCCUGGGGAGUACGGCCGCAAGGUUG